GUCUUUUAGAGUAUAAUUAAAAGUCUAGCCUGCCCCCUGAAUAUUUAAAUGGCCGCGGUAUUUUGACCGUGCUAAGGUAGCAUAAUCAUUAGUUUCUUAAUUAGAAGCUGGCAUGAAAGGUUGGAUGAAAAAAUAACUGUCUCUAUUUAAUUUUAUUAGAAUUUUAUUUUUAAGUAAAAAAGCUUAAAUAUAAUUUAAAGACGAGAAGACCCUAUAGAGCUUGAAAUAAUAUUUUAUUAUUUUUUUUUAGUAUUAAUACAUGUGAUAAUUUAUUAUUUUUAAUUGGGGUGAUUGAAAAAUUUAAUAAACUUUUUUUAUUUAAAUACAUUGAUUUAUGAGUAAAUGAUCCAAUAAUUUUGAUUAUAAGAUAAAGUUACCUUAGGGAUAACAGCGUAAUUUUUUUUGAGAGUUCUUAUCGAAAAAAAAGUUUGCGACCUCGAUGUUGGAUUAAAAUUAAUUUUUGGUGCAGGAGCUAAAAUAUUAAGUCUGUUCGACUUUUAAAAUUUUACA
rnacentral:rRNA from 1 species